ensembl:lncRNA
GUAAAUGUUUCAUGUUAAAACUAAUGCCACCAAUUGAUUUUUAACUUUAAACACAAGUAUGUUGUUUUGAAUUUAAUUAACAACAUAAUAUUUCAAUACAACAAAAUGCAGUAAAUUAAAUCCAACGUAAAAAGUUCAUUUAAAAUGAAGAGCACUUUAAUUUAAAGAGGAUUGUCCUAAUAGGCUCUCCGUACUUCUGAGUUUGCACAUGUGCAGUGUGGAAGUUUGAUCAUCCGCCAUUUUCAACUGAGACUUGCAUAUGCUUAGCAUCCUGGAUAGAAUCCAUCGCCAUCUGAGGAUUAUUUGUUUCCAUUGGUUAUCAUCGCUACCGAAGACAGGAAAUCAUCAAAGACAUGCCAUUCAUUGCAGAGGUCAACAACAGUUGGCCUGCCCUGUUUUCAGAGACUGAGGUUGUUGCGGAGUUCACCUGCAUCACCAUGGUCCCUUUGUUGUCGACUUUCAUGGCCAAGCUGGACCACUACGCUGACCACCUUCUUAGAGUGUUCAAAAAGAAGGGGGGAACAGCUAAACGCAAUAUCAACUUAAUCAUGGCAGCCAUGGAUGGGAAUCCCAGCGUUGAUGUUCGACGGGAAUGCAUUCUGAAAGCUGUCUGUGUCUACUUAAAUGAAAAGCCAGAUGACCUGUUCAAGGAAUUCUUGGAUGUGGAUCUUGGUGCAAGCAGAGAAACGGAGCAGCUGACUUUGGGAGUCUAUGUUGUCAGACAUGAAGGAGCAAACUCUGCAGAUACACCUGAGGACAUUGGUGUUAUCAUAGAAGGAUGCACUGUGCUGCAAGCUCUUAGUGAUGUGGCAAAGUGUUGUGCCCUCCUGCUUGGACUAAUCUACAGUCUAAAUCUGAGCUAGCCAAAGCACCUGAAAUACACAUUUGAAUUUCUUCAGAAGGUGCUGAUGGAGUUGGAUGGGAACAACCUAUCCAUGAAGGUGCAGGUUCUGAAAAACAAACUGCUUGAGUGAAACAGCCUGCACUGAACUAUAGAGGACACUGAACUUUAAGGUUCUCGAACCCUUCUCCUUGCUCUUCAUAAACUGUUCAGUUUGAAUUGCCGCAAGAACUUCUGCAAGCCUUUCACUUUUCUGCGUUCUUUGUUCUCUAACCUUUACCAACAUCCAACUACACUGAAAAAGACUGCUCCUAACUUUGGACUUCAGUUUAAGUUUUGAAGCAAAGGUUAUUUUUCAAAAUAUGGACAAAAAUGACACUAAAGUAAUUUCUACCUGCUGUAUUGUGGGCUUUUCAUUGUAGCCCAAUCAAGUUUAAAUGAAGUCAUGUUAAUGUGAAAAAUGUUGGAAUCACAACACUUUCCAGUUUUAAUCAUUUCAGUUUAACAUGAGAUUCUGUAUCUUGUCUUCCUGCACUUAAAAUGCACUUGAAUAUAUGUAAAGAUUGUUUAGGAAAAAAGAUCCAGAAGCAUUUGAACUGCUCAAAGUGUGCUUCAACAAGUUUAACACAAAGUGUUAUUAAAGUUAGGUUAACUGACUAAA